rnacentral:rRNA from 1 species
UACGGGGGGGGCAAGCGUUGUUCGGAAUUAUUGGGCGUAAAGAGCUUGUAGGCGGUUUGUCGCGUCUGCCGUGAAAAUCCGGGGCUCAACCCCGGACUUGCGGUGGGUACGGGCAGACUAGAGUGUGGUAGGGGAGACUGGAAUUCUUGGUGUAGCGGUGAAAUGCGCAGAUAUCAGGAGGAACACCAGUGGCGCAAGCG